rnacentral:misc_RNA from 1 species
GAUGAAGAACGUAGCGAAAUGCGAUAAGUAAUGCGAAUUGCAGAAUUCCGUGAGUCAUCGAAUCUUUGAACGCACAUUGCGCCCGCUGGUAUUCCGGCGGGCAUGCCUGUUCGAGCGUCAUUUCAACCCUCAAGCCCCCGGGUUUGGUGUUGGGGAUCGGCUCUGCCCUUCUGGGCGGUGCCGCCCCCGAAAUACAUUGGCGGUCUCGCUGCAGCCUCCAUUGCGUAGUAGCUAACACCUCGCAACUGGAACGCGGCGCGGCCAUGCCAUAAAACCCCAACUUCUGAAUGUUGACCUCGGAUCAGGUAGGAAUACCCGCUGAACUUAAGCAUAUCAAUAAGCGGAGGA